rnacentral:lncRNA from 1 species
UCCACAAAGGGAUUACAACUCUUAUAAGUCAAGCACUUUUCUAUACACUGUACAUAUACACUAUCUCUAUACAUUUACAUGUCCACACUAGCUAUUACACCACUCUGUACUCUUCCUGUACCCUGCUGAGUUCUCUCUGACCUCUGAACCUGCACAACUGGAGUUAGGGGAGAGGAAUGAGCUACUAUAGCCCAGUGAGUAUAAUAGUAAUAAAAGCACAGGUGCUAAAACAUGCUCUCAUGGAAUGCAACACAUAAUCACAUCACCUCGGCCGGACGGAUCAAAACUCCCUCUAUCUCAUCUGGGGUACCGGAGUACCAUGUGCCUGGUCCCCGUAGGGCUGUUCCAGGUCUUUGUGCCUGGUCCCCGUAGGGCUGUUCCAGGUCUUUCCUCUGAGGGCUAAUGAAUCCUCACGAAGUCCGUGUCGUCUCAUAGAAACAAUGUACAAGGAGCAAUGCCAAGUACAAGGAUAAAUGCAAUGCAUCAUCUUUGUGUACACUAAUGCACUCACCCUAUAGCAUAUUCAUGAUGCAUGAAGCAUGAUAAAAUAUUCAGUUCGCAUAUUAAAACAUUAAGUUCAAUUCCACUCACCUGUAGUUAUCUCUGAACGGACUCUGCAGGUUCUGACACUGGACUCACUGCUGACUUCCCUGAUUUCUCUGGUCCGUACCUACACAGGUGGACUCAAAUGAGGGACCAAACUCACUCAAGAACAUCUCUCAGAAACUCCCCAAAACCCCUCUAAACAAUCCUAAAACCAUCACAUAAAACAUGCAAAAGAAAGCUGGACAGGGCACUUUCGGCGGCAGGUUCGGCGGCCGAAACCCCACUCCAGAGACGAAACUCAUGCAUGUUCGGCGGCACCUUCGGCGGCCGAAGGUCUCGUCCAGAGACGAAACUCACACACUUUCGGCGGCCGAACUCCCUCUUUCGGCGGCCGAAAGUCUCUUUCUAAACCGAAAGCCUAGCUUUCGGGGGAAACCUUUGGCAGCCGAAACUGCCUCCACAAGGGGUUCGGCGGCCGAACCUUCCUUCGGCGGCCGAACCUGGUUUUGCCCGAAGGACAGAACCUUGCUCUGUUUCAUGCAAACUUUGCCCAAAAACCUAUAAACAUGCAUAUCAACUACUCCCAACUAGCAUAGACACAUAGAUUUGCACAAAGGGGUCUAAACCUACCCUAAAACCCCAAACAAACAUAGCACAUAACAUGUUGGAACACCACAAAUCAUCAAAACCCUCACCUAAACCUAAACAUGCAUACUACCCAUACAACCUUUCAAAAUCAUCAAAGAAGCUCAGGAUCUUCACUUACCUCUUCCACCAC